rnacentral:rRNA from 1 species
GAUGAACGCUGGCGGCGUGCCUAAUACAUGCAGGUCGAGCGAACAGACGAGGAGCUUGCUCCUCUGACGUUAGCGGCGGACGGGUGAGUAACACGUGGAUAACCUACCUAUAAGACUGGGAUAACUUCGGGAAACCGGAGCUAAUACCGGAUAAUAUAUUGAACCGCAUGGUUCAAUAGUGAAAGACGGUUUUGCUGUCACUUAUAGAUGGAUCCGCGCCGCAUUAGCUAGUUGGUAAGGUAACGGCUUACCAAGGCGACGAUGCGUAGCUGACCUGAGAGGGUGAUCGGCCACACUGGAACUGAGACACGGUCCAGACUCCUACGGGAGGCAGCAGUAGGGAAUCUUCCGCAAUGGGCGAAAGCCUGACGGAGCAACGCCGCGUGAGUGAUGAAGGUCUUCGGAUCGUAAAACUCUGUUAUUAGGGAAGAACAAAUGUGUAAGUAACUAUGCACGUCUUGACGGUACCUAAUCAGAAAGCCACGGCUAACUACGUG